rnacentral:rRNA from 1 species
UACGGAGGGUGCAAGCGCUAUCCGGAUUCACUGGGUUUAAAGGGUGCGUAGGCGGAUAAGUAAGUCAGUGGUGAAAUCUCCGAGCUUAACUCGGAAACUGCCGUUGAUACUAUUUGUCUUGAAUAUUGUGGAGGUAAGCGGAAUAUGUCAUGUAGCGGUGAAAUGCUUAGAUAUGACAUAGAACACCAAUUGCGAAGGCAGCUUACUACACAAUGAUUGACGCUGAGGCACGAAAGCGUGGGGAUCAAACAGG